CAAACUCCUACGGGAGGCAGCAGUAGGGAAUUUUUCCCAAUGGACGAAAGUCUGAUGGAGCAACGCCGCGUGAGUGAAGAAGGGUUUCGGCUCGUAAAACUCUGUUGUUAAAGAAGAACAUAUCUGAGAGUAACUGUUCAGGUAUUGACGGUAUUUAACCAGAAAGCCACGGCUAACUACGUGCCAGCAGCCGCGGUAAUACGUAGGUGGCAAGCGUUGUCCGGAUUUAUUGGGCGUAAAGCGAGCGCAGGCGGUUUUUUAAGUCUGAUGUGAAAGCCUUCGGCUCAACCGAAGAAGUGCAUCGGAAACUGGGAAACUUGAGUGCAGAAGAGGACAGUGGAACUCCAUGUGUAGCGGUGAAAUGCGUAGAUAUAUGGAAGAACACCAGUGGCGAAGGCGGCUGUCUGGUCUGUAACUGACGCUGAGGCUCGAAAGUAUGGGUAGCAAACAGGAUUAGAUACCCUGGUAGUCCAUACCGUAAACGAUGAAUGCUAAGUGUUGGAGGGUUUCCGCCCUUCAGUGCUGCAGCUAACGCAUUAAGCAUUCCGCCUGGGGAGUACGGCCGCAAGGCUGAAACUCAAAGGAAUUGACGGGGGCCCGCACAAGCGGUGGAGCAUGUGGUUUAAUUCGAAGCUACGCGAAGAACCUUACCAGGUCUUGACAUACUAUGCAAAUCUAAGAGAUUAGACGUUCCCUUCGGGGACAUGGAUACAGGUGGUGCAUGGUUGUCGUCAGCUCGUGUCGUGAGAUGUUGGGUUAAGUCCCGCAACGAGCGCAACCCUUAUUAUCAGUUGCCAGCAUUAAGUUGGGCACUCUGGUGAGACUGCCGGUGACAAACCGGAGGAAGGUGGGGAUGACGUCAAAUCAUCAUGCCCCUUAUGACCUGGGCUACACACGUGCUACAAUGGAUGGUACAACGAGUUGCGAACUCGCGAGAGUAAGCUAAUCUCUUAAAGCCAUUCUCAGUUCGGAUUGUAGGCUGCAACUCGCCUACAUGAAGUCGGAAUCGCUAGUAAUCGCGGAUCAGCAUGCCGCGGUGAAUACGUUCCCGGGCCUUGUACACACCGCCCGUCACACCA
rnacentral:rRNA from 1 species